AACGAACGCUGGCGGCAUGCCUAACACAUGCAAGUCGAACGCGUGGAGCGAUCCACGAGUGGCGCACGGGUGAGUAACGCGUGGGAACCUGCCCUGGAGUGUGGGAUAACCCGGCGAAAGCCGGGCUAAUACCGCAUACGACCUGAGGGUGAAAGAUUUAUCGCUCUAGGAGGCGGCCCGCGUCGGAGUAGCUAGUUGGUGAGGUAAUGGCUCACCAAGGCGAUGAUCCGUAGCUGGUCUGAGAGGAUGAUCAGCCACACUGGGACGAAGACACGGACCAGACUCCUACGGGAGGCAGCAGUGGGGAAUAUUGGACAAUGGGGGCAACCCUGAUCCAGCAAUGCCGCGUGGGCGAUGAAGGCCUUCGGGUUGUAAAGCCCUUUUGCACGCGACGAUGAUGACGGUAGCGUGAGAAGAAGCCCCGGCUAACUUCGUGCCAGCAGCCGCAGUAA
rnacentral:rRNA from 1 species